AAUUUCUGGAUUAAUCAUCUUAAAAUAACUGAUGCCGCUUUUAACAAGAUUUUUCAUACCAUACGAUUGUCAUCACGUGGACGUUGUGACGUUACCAUUUUAGAAGAGGAAGUCGGUUUCCUGCCACAAAUUUCACUCACUUCGUAAAGAUGAAACUUGAAAUCCUCCGUCUUCUAUUUCUACAAGUCGUUUCAACGGUGAGACUUGUGGAAACUGUCAGGGAAGCCACGGGGUAUCUAGAGGGGAGCGUGACUUUGGCCUCAGGAGCAAACCCAAAGUGGAACCUCUCCACAAUCGAGUGGUCAAUUUUCACAAACUUCACAUGGAUUGCCACCUAUCGCAAAGGAGAAGAAAACCUUGACCGGGUUGAUCGGUAUAAAGGACGACUUACUCUUAACACCACCACAGGUGACUUGACGAUCCAUAAAUUGACCAAAGAGGACAACAUGGAGUACACUGUGGACUUAGUCAAUACUUUGGGAGAAGACAGCUCCUCCAAAAUUAAACUCAAAGUGAAUCAACAACUUCAGACACCGACCAUACAGACGGUCCUCUCCAGUACAUCGACAGAAGGAGGCUGUUGGAUGCUGCUCCAUUGUUCUUCAACAGACAGAGAUGUUAACUUAUCCUGGCAUGUGGAAGGUCCAAAUUCAAGAGAGAAUUGGACCGGUGGCAACCACACAAUUCUUGUAUCGCUGAACACCACACAAAGCCUCGUCACAGUCACCUGCACCUCCAGGAGGAAUAUGGGGAGCAGCUCAACGGUUAUCACUCCAAAAUGUGAUGACUCCAUUCCAACCAUGUCAGCUGCUCCAAGGUAUUAUUAUGUUGUUGUUUUUUUUGCUGGAGUAAUCCUGGGAGUGUCAGCAUCGAUACUAUAUGUCAAGAGAUGUAAUAGGUAAGAGGUAAGUGGGAAUCAUCGUCAUUUAUUGUUUGUCCUCUUCUUCCAAAGGGAGGGGGGUUUAUAAUCUCAUCUGAGAAUGAUCAAAGAAGCACAGCAGAGCUAACAGACUACAAAAAGAUGUCUUCUAUUACUGAACUAUCUGGUAAAGGGUGUUAAAAUGAGUAAUUACAGGAUCAGACCCACUACAGGCAAGAAUUCAGUCUAGACUGGGCGUCCCCAUUAUCUUUCAUUACUUUCAAUGUCACGACAGGUUAGUGCUGGAGAAAUCAGCUCUACCGGCUGCAGGCUACAAAGUACUGAUUAGGGAUGUGCACCGCUAGCUUAGUAGAAAGUUAAACAUCAUGACUCACGCUAGUCGGCACCAGAGUUACUAGCUGGUUAAAAGAAACGACAUUUUACAUUUUUGGAACAUUUCAAAUCUAGUUUAAUCCAACUUUGGAGACUCAGGGGGGUUAAAUUAAAUGAAUCAGAAAUUAAACCCUUUGAAUGAGUAAAUAUGCAAAGAGUUGGACACAUAUAGUUGGCGUUCAAGGCUGGAUUUGUGAUAUUAUGAUAAAUGUGGGGAUGAGAAAGAAUCUUUAAUGUUUGGGGUUGCUGCAACAAAGAAGAAACACAUUUUUUGAAAGUCGCAUGGACAAAGUGUCUUUAGCUUUCUUUGAUCAGCCUCAGUCACUCAUAUAUCCCUUGUAAAACAUCAUGUUUCUAUACAUUAUUAUAUCAUUUGUUCAAACCUAAGUGGUCAUGGCAAAACAAAAAAAACAUUUUUUCCCAUCAAUCUUCAUUUUCAAGGAGUCCUGUGUGAAUAAAAAACAUCAUGAUCAAAAAGUUAGCCUGACACGGCAAAAAAGAAGAGAGAAGACGCAACACCACAAUAAUCAGUGAAGGAGACUACAGUGUUUGUGUAGCUAUGAGAUUCAAUUGUGUUGUGUUAUUUAAAAUAAAACAAUUUUUUCAUAAAAUAA